rnacentral:rRNA from 1 species
GACGAACGCUGGCGGCGUGCUUAACACAUGCAAGUCGAACGGGAAGGCCCUGCUUUUGUGGGGUGCUCGAGUGGCGAACGGGUGAGUAACACGUGAGUAACCUGCCCUUGACUUUGGGAUAACUUCAGGAAACUGGGGCUAAUACCGGAUAGGAGCUCCUGCUGCAUGGUGGGGGUUGGAAAGUUUCGGCGGUUGGGGAUGGACUCGCGGCUUAUCAGCUUGUUGGUGGGGUAGUGGCUUACCAAGGCUUUGACGGGUAGCCGGCCUGAGAGGGUGACCGGCCACAUUGGGACUGAGAUACGGCCCAGACUCCUACGGGAGGCAGCAGUGGGGAAUAUUGCCCAAUGGGCGGAAGCCUGAUGCAGCAACGCCGCGUGCGGGAUGACGGCCUUCGGGUUGUAAACCGCUUUCGCCUGUGACGAAGCGUGAGUGACGGUAAUGGGUAAAGAAGCACCGGCUAACUACGUG